AGUACAGUAAGACAACUCUUUAAUUACAAAAUCUGUGCUAAAGAAUAUAACUUUUAAUAAAAUGUUGAUGGUUUGAUAACAAAAUACUAUAGCACCCUAAUUCUUGACAGAUGAGAAUUCUCUGCUGAAGUAUUGUUAGAAGAAGUUACUUUGACCUCAGUGAAGAAACACCAGUUAACACAAUCUGAGCUUCUUAUAUGAAACAUUAAUUGAAACACUUUUCAGGAUUUGGUUUUGAGUUUG